CCUACGGGAGACAGCAGUGAGGAAUAUUGGUCAAUGGGCUUACGCCUGAACCAGCCAAGUCGCGUGAGGGAAGACUGCCCUAUGGGUUGUAAACCUCUUUUGUCAGGGAGCAAUUGGCGCUACGUGUAGCGUUAUCGAGAGUACCUGAAGAAAAAGCAACGGCUAACUCCGUGCCAGCAGCCGCGGGAAUACGGAGGAUGCGAGCGUUAUCCGGAUUGAUUGGGUUAAAGGGGUGCGUAGGCGGAAUGCCAAGUCAGCGGUAAAAUCGCGGGGCUCAACCUCGCUCCGCCGUUGAAACUGGCGUUCUUGAGUGGGCGAGAAGUAUGCGGAAUGCGUGGUGUAGCGGUGAAAUGCAUAGAUAUCACGCAGAACUCCGAUUGCGAAGGCAGCAUACCGGCGCCCAACUGACGCUGAAGCACGAAAGCGUGGGUAUCGAACAGGAUUAGAUACCCUUGUAGUC
rnacentral:rRNA from 1 species